UACGGAGGGAGCUAGCGUUAUUCGGAAUUACUGGGCGUAAAGCGCACGUAGGCGGCUUUGUAAGUAAGAAGUGAAAGCCCAGAGCUCAACUCUGGAAUUGCCUUUUAGACUGCAUCGCUUGAAUCAUGGAGAGGUCAGUGGAAUUCCGAGUGUAGAGGUGAAAUCGUAGAUAUUCGGAAGAACACCAGUGGCGAAGGCGGCUGACUGGACAUGUAUUGACGCUGAGGUGCGAAAGCGUGGGGAGCAAACAGG
rnacentral:rRNA from 1 species